rnacentral:rRNA from 1 species
GACGAACGCUGGCGGCGUGCCUAAUACAUGCAAGUAGGACGCAGUUGCGAACGGGUGAGUAACGCGUAGGUAACUACCUAUUAGAGGGGGAUAACUAUUGGAAACGAUAGCUAAUACCGCAUACUAGUAGAUGGACCUUCGUUGUAUUAGCUAGUAGGUAGGGGAAUGGCCUACCUAGUCAACGAUACAUCGCCGAGCUGAGAGGGGGAUCGGCCAAACUGGGAAGGAGAAAAGGCCCAGAAUCCGACGGGAGGCAGCAGGAGGGAAGCUUCGGCAAGGGGGGGAACACUGACCGAGCAAAGACGCGUGAGUGAAGAAGGUGUUCGGAUCGUAAAGCUCUGUUGUGAAGGAAGCGGUACUUAACCAGAAAGGGACGGCUAACUACGUGCCAGCAGCCGCGGUAAUAC